GAAAGUCUUUAUCACAAUCGCACAGAAAGUGUAGAUAAGGGAAUCCUAAGUGCAUAUACUUAGUAUAUGCUUUUGCCAAAUGUAAAUAGUUUGGCGAAUAAGUGGUGGGAAAGACUGUUGCCAGCAGCCGCGGUAACACCAGCGCCACAAGGGGGGAUCAGCAUUAUUGGGCCUAAAGCGUCCGUAGCUGGUUUAGUAAAUCAUAUGUGAAAUUGUUGCGCUUAACGUAACAGUGUGCAUAUGAGACUGCUAAACUAGGAACGGGGGGGAGUAAGAGGUAUUCUUGGGGGAGCGGUAAAAUGUUAUAAUCCCAAGAAGACUACCUGUGGCGAAGGCGUCUUACUAGAACGGAUUCGACGGUGAGGGACGAAAGCUAGGGGAGCGAACCGGAUUAGAUACCCGAGUAGUCCUAGCUGUAAACGCUGCGAGCUAGGCGUUGCGCAAUCUAUAAGGUUGUGCAGGGUCGGAGCGAAGGUGUUAAGCUCGCCGCCUGGAAAGUAUGGUCGCAAGACUGAACCUUAAAGGAAUUGGCGGGGGAAAGGGCGAAUUCGUUUAAACCUGCGGGACUAGUCCCUUUAGUGAGGGUUAAUUCUGAGCUUGGCGUAAUCAUGGCCAUAGCUGUUUUCCGGA
rnacentral:rRNA from 1 species